CCCCCCUCUUGGUUUGUUCCACGCUAAUUAUUCCGUUGCAGCAAUAUUAACAGCUGCCUCUGGUGUUGUUGCAUAGGUGGAGGCACAUAUCUGUUAGGUGCUCCGGCAUUCUGGAAAAGUGGCGCCUGCUGCUGUUGCUGUGGCACAUUGUUCCAGCUAAGAUUAGGGUGAUUCCUCCACCCUGGGUUGUACCUGUUGCUGGACAAGUCAUAAUUCUGCUGCUGUGGCUGCCUGUUGUUGUAGAUGUUAGUAGCAUAAGCCUGAGGCGCAUCAGAGGCAGCUGAGUGCUGCAAGGUAGGACAAGCAUCUGUGUAGUGGCCACUAGAAGUACAAACAGCACAUAGUCGUGCAACAGAUGUCGAUGAAGCUGUAGGUUUCUGGCUGGUUGCCAACUGUGUCACUAACUUCGCAAGAGAUUCAAUCUUGUCUUCCAACUUGCUUUCAAUAGCAGAUAAAGACUAGGCAACAACAUCAUGUACGCCCCUCACCACAAUGGCAUCAUUCCUGGCGCUAAACUGCUGGGAGUUUGAAGCCAUCUUCUCAAUCAAAUGCCUGACCUUAGCAGGUGUGGUAUCUCCAAGAGCUCCACCACUGGUAGCAUCAAGCAUACCCCUAUCCAUGUUGUUCAAACCCACAUAGAAAUACUGGAUAAGGAGUUGUUCAGGUAUCUGAUGGUGGGGACAGCUUGCACAAAGUGUCUUGAAUCUCUCCCAAUACUCAUACAAGCUCUCUC
rnacentral:lncRNA from 1 species